CAAGGUCGCGGGGCAGCACGGGUAGCAAGUACCGUGGUGGCGACCGGCGCACGGGUGCGUAACGCGUAUGCAACCUGCCCCCAUCAGGGAUAGCCCGCGAAAGGCGGAUUAAUGCCCAUAGACCCAGGGCGCUGCAUGGCGCUAUGGGUAAAACUCCUGCGGAUGGGGAUGGGCAUGCGUGCCAUUAGCUAGUUGGGCGGUAACGGCGCACCAAGGCGACGAUGGCUAGGGGGUCUGAGAGGAUGGUCCCCCACACUGGUACUGAGACACGGACCAGACUCCUACGGGAGGCAGCAGUGAGGAAUAUUGGUCAAUGGGCGGAAGCCUGAACCAGCCAUUGCCGCGUGCAGGAUGACGGCCCUACGGGUUGUAAACUGCUUUUCCCCGGGAAGAAUAAGCCCCUCGUGAGGGGUGAUGCCGGUACCGGGGGAAUAAGGAUCGGCUAACUCCGUGCCAGCAGCGGC
rnacentral:rRNA from 1 species